rnacentral:rRNA from 1 species
AAUCCUAUAUGGAGAGUUUGAUCCUGGCUCAGGACGAACGCUGGCGGCGUGCCUAAUACAUGCAAGUCGAGCGGAGCAACGGUUUCCUUCGGGAAACCAUUAGCUUAGCGGCGGACGGGUGAGUAACACGUAGGCAACCUGCCCUCAAGACUGGGAUAACUACCGGAAACGGUAGCUAAUACCGGAUAAUUG